ACACAUCUCACUUGUUUGAUUAAUAUUAGAUGUUUGGUUCAGUCUCUCUCCAUUUCUUUUCAGAAUUAUUAUACUUCCUUUUCAUAUGAUCUUUAGAGUUUGAAGAUUUAUACAAUUCUUGUUUUUUGGGGUUUAUUUAUACUUAAGAAUAACUUUUAAUUUCAAGUAUAAAUAUGUUCAUGGAAAAGUACAAAAAUGUAAAUAUAUAGUUUGAUGAAAUAUAACAAACUGAACACACUCUGUCAUCAUCACCCAGGUGAAGCAGUAGAAUAUUAUCUGCAUUCUAGAAUAACUUCCUGAGACCACUUCCAGAGCUGUCAUUCAAAAUGGACACUGGAGAAGGAAGAAUAAAGAGACAGGAGCUGUAAGCAAAGAGGAGAAUGUGAAAUGGCUUAGAAGAGGGGGCAGAACUGGAGAACAGACAUGUAAAGCAGGAAGAGCAUUUGUACAGAAGAGGCAAGGUGACUAACAGUGGGCCUCCUGGAUGAGACAGCAAUACGAGGUGGCCUUUAAAGAUACAUCCCUCACCGCCAAAGCCUACAGAGGAAGUGAUUGAUCAUAUCUCAGAUGAUAGAGGCUGGUGUUCCUAUUCAUCCAUUGCCAGAAAGCGUGCUCUGGAGGAAGCCAGCUGCCGUGUAAUUGAUCUGACUACCCUGAGACUGCCAUGCUGGUGUGAAGCCCAAGCCACGUGGAGAAGCCCUGGAGCAUGA
rnacentral:lncRNA from 13 species